rnacentral:lncRNA from 1 species
UUCCAUCUCAAGGAUGAAAUGACACUAUUUAUGGUAUUUUGCAAUAACAUUCUAGAUUUAGUUCCAGAAGGCUGAACUUUAUCUAAAUAAGUUCUUUUGUUCCAUGUUCAUGUUUAUGGUAGCAUAAAAAACCUGCAGAAGCAACAAGAAGGCAGCAAAUAGUAUCUCUGAAAUAUCAUAGGGUGUCUUGGCAGCAAUCAAAUAUACUCAGCCUUUCAAGAAGAUGUAAAGUCAUUCCUCCAAGAAACGACAGAAUUACAGGGUCAGUAGCUGCUGAUUAGGCUUACAAAGGGGACUACUCAAAAGGAAUCAUGGAGUGUUUUACUGAGCAAUCCCUUAAAGGAAAGAGGUCUGGAGAGUUAAAAAAGCUUUAAUCUGCAUUCUCCUUAUCACCCACCCCCACCCAUUUCCCUUUUAGGUGCUUUAGUGCUUAAUAACAAGCUAUAUUGUCUUUUAUCCAAUAACUCAAGCCAGUCCAAAGGUUUUGUUUUAUAAAGUACAAUUUUUUAAUGUCAAACUCCAUACUUUUCAUUUUUCUUAUUUUCUUGAUAUAAGGAAGACCUGGAAACACCAGGCCCACAUUCCCACAGGACAAUGAUGCUUAUUGCUGGGCAAUGACUUUCUCAUUUGGGUGGGGUCCCAUCUAUUUCACCACAGUCUCACAAAGUGGCACUGAGCAGGGAGCAGGUACUUGCCUGUUCUUCACAGAAUGCAGCACAGGUCCAGGACAGGGAAUACUUAAAGAAGGUAGCAUCAUUUUGUCUGCUGUUUCAAGAUGUUCUGAGAGUUCAAUACUCAGAGUACUCAGUGUUUUUUUCAGAGGAAUAGGAGUAACCUGUGUGACUGAACUCCAGAGAAAUUUCAGGGUUUGGCAAAAGGGGUAAAUGUCCAACAACCAGAGGGAACUCCCAGUAGCAGCCUGUGUUGACCGACAGCAGGCAGAAGCUGUAUUCACAUUGUUAGACAUAGCUGGACACAGUCUGGCGAUGCCCAGACAUUUUUGGGGUGGAUAGGAGCACUUUGCAGGAUACUGAGGAUUGCCAAUAAUGCAGAUGGGUUAUCGAUCUCACAGAACAAAUGGACAUUAUUGUUAAUUUAGACACAUUCAUGUUUAUAGACUGUGGGUACUAUAAACAGUAAAGUCAAACUUCUAUAAAAACUAUCCCCUCCCAUGCCAUUGGCUUCCAAGAACCAAUUUUAUACUCACUCAGCAUGUCUUAUCGAUGGGCAGAAAUAAGUUUGGAGCAAAGUUUCAAAGCAUUUAUGAUUGGUUUUGAAUUUGAAAAAAAACAUGCACACAUACCCAGAAAAGCUAGGCACAGCUUUUCAUCCAAAAUGAAUAAUUAUGCAUAGAACUGAUUACUUAAAUACACAUUUCAUGAUUAUAAAUGAAAUUACCUGCAUUACACUGCAAAUACCUUGUUCUGCAUGGAUUAAGGAAAGUAAAACUUGAUUGCAGAUGUUGGAAAUUUUAGACCUUGAUUUUUCAGUUAUUCUGAAAAUAUAUCACUUGCCUCUUACAACACUCCCCUUAUGGAAGUAAUUUACAAGCUGAAACUGAAAAUGAAAUGUUGGUUAUACUGGAUUUUACAUUGGGGUGAAAUUCUAGGAGCUGGAACACAGGAAAGUAAGUGGACUGCUUCUCUGUUUUCACAUCUAGUUCAGACCUUUCCAUAAGCAGCAGAUGCCCAGGCUAGUAGAUCUCUCCAUACUUGUUUAAUCUGAGGGAUUCCAGAAAACCCUGAAAACCCUGAGAGUUUCUUCCAAAAGCCUGUGUAUGUGCCUGAAAUCCUAUUUUUAUUACUUUACUUCUGGUUUUUGCUUGUUAAAAUGCACAUGUUCCUGAGGAGAAUAAUCCAUGAAACUGUAAUCCAUCAAAGCAACAUAGUGUGAAUCAGCUUGUCAGUUCCAUUCCAAAGCGACAGCUUGGGAAGAACAGGUUUAUUUUCCUCUGUUGUUUUAGCAACCUCAUUUUUCACAUCUUUUUCCACUAACCAGAUUAGACCCUCUCUGUAGGCAUAGGCUUUGGUUUAGCCUUUCAUCUGAUCAUUUCAUGUGGACUCACAUCCUGUUUUUGGGGGAACUCAUUUGCUUUUCUUGGAUUCCUUAGAGGUUUGUAGGAGACCAGGCUUUAUUAGUAUGUAGUGCUUAAAUGCAAGGAGUCAAUAUUGAAAUUGUAAUCCUAGAUAAAAAAUAAUUUAGACUCAGAAAUAUUUUGAAAUGUAGGCAAAAUACAGCUCACUUCCCCUGGUGUAUUUCUUUAUGAUCCUCAAUCACAG